UGCCCUAGUACGGCGAGUGAAGCGGCAACAGCUCAAAUUUGAAAUCUGGCUCUCGGGCCCGAGUUGUAAUUUGUAGAGGAUGCUUUUGAUGCGGUGCCUUCCGAGUUCCCUGGAACGGGACGCCAUAGAGGGUGAGAGCCCCGUCUGGUUGGAUGCCAAAUCUCUGUAAAGCUCCUUCGACGAGUCGAGUAGUUUGGGAAUGCUGCUCUAAAUGGGAGGUAUAUGUCUUCUAAAGCUAAAUAUUGGCCAGAGACCGAUAGCGCACAAGUAGAGUGAUCGAAAGAUGAAAAGCACUUUGAAAAGAGAGUUAAAAAGUACGUGAAAUUGUUGAAAGGGAAGCGUUUAUGACCAGACUUGGGCUUGGUUAAUCAUCUGGGGUUCUCCCCAGUGCACUUUUCCAGUCCAGGCCAGCAUCAGUUUUCGCCGGGGGAUAAAGGCUUCGGGAAUGUGGCUCUCUCCGGGGAGUGUUAUAGCCCGUUGCGUAAUACCCUGGCGGGGACUGAGGUUCGCGCAUCUGCAAGGAUGCUGGCGUAAUGGUCAUCAACGACCCGUCUUGAAACACGGACCAAGGAGUCGUCUUCGUAUGCGAGUGUUCGGGUGUCAAACCCCUACGCGUAAUGAAAGUGAACGCAGGUGAGAGCUUCGGCGCAUCAUCGACCGAUCCUGAUGUUCUCGGAUGGAUUUGAGUAAGAGCAUACGGGGCCGGACCCGAAAGAAGGUGAACUAUGCCUGUGUAGGGUGAAGCCAGAGGAAACUCUGGUGGAGGCUCGCAGCGGUUCUGACGUGCAAAUCGAUCGUCAAACAUGGGCAUG
rnacentral:rRNA from 1 species